UCAGAGCCCGUUAAUGGGUGAUGGCGUGCCUUUUGUAGAAUGAACCGGCGAGUUACGAUUUGAUGCAAGGUUAAGCAGUAAAUGUGGAGCCGUAGCGAAAGCGAGUCUGAAUAGGGCGUUUAGUAUUUGGUCGUAGACCCGAAACCAGGUGAUCUACCCUUGGUCAGGUUGAAGUUCAGGUAACACUGAAUGGAGGACCGAACCGACUUACGUUGAAAAGUGAGCGGAUGAACUGAGGGUAGCGGAGAAAUUCCAAUCGAACCUGGAGAUAGCUGGUUCUCUCCGAAAUAGCUUUAGGGCUAGCCUCAAGUGAUGAUUAUUGGAGGUAGAGCACUGUUUGGACGAGGGGCCCCUCUCGGGUUACCGAAUUCAGACAAACUCCGAAUGCCAAUUAAUUUAACUUGGGAGUCAGAACAUGGGUGAUAAGGUCCGUGUUCGAAAGGGAAACAGCCCAGACCACCAGCUAAGGUCCCAAAAUAUAUGUUAAGUGGAAAAGGAUGUGGCGUUGCCCAGACAACUAGGAUGUUGGCUUAGAAGCAGCCAUCAUUUAAAGAGUGCGUAAUAGCUCACUAGUCGAGUGACACUGCGCCGAAAAUGUACCGGGGCUAAACAUAUUACCGAAGCUGUGGAUUGUCCUUUGGACAAUGGUAGGAGAGCGUUCUAAGGGCGUUGAAGCAUGAUCGCAAGGACAUGUGGAGCGCUUAGAAGUGAGAAUGCCGGUGUGAGUAGCGAAAGACGGGUGAGAAUCCCGUCCACCGAUUGACUAAGGUUUCCAGAGGAAGGCUCGUCCGCUCUGGGUUAGUCGGGUCCUAAGCUGAGGCCGACAGGCGUAGGCGAUGGAUAACAGGUUGAUAUUCCUGUACCACCUAUAAUCGUUUUAAUCGAUGGGGGGACGCAGUAGGAUAGGCGAAGCGUGCGAUUGGAUUGCACGUCUAAGCAGUAAGGCUGAGUAUUAGGCAAAUCCGGUACUCAUUAAGGCUGAGCUGUGAUGGGGAGAAGACAUUGUGUCUUCGAGUCGUUGAUUUCACACUGCCGAGAAAAGCCUCUAGAUAGAAAAUAGGUGCCCGUACCGCAAACCGACACAGGUAGUCAAGAUGAGAAUUCUAAGGUGAGCGAGCGAACUCUCGUUAAGGAACUCGGCAAAAUGACCCCGUAACUUCGGGAGAAGGGGUGCUCUUUAGGGUUAACGCCCAGAAGAGCCGCAGUGAAUAGGCCCAAGCGACUGUUUAUCAAAAACACAGGUCUCUGCUAAACCGUAAGGUGAUGUAUAGGGGCUGACGCCUGCCCGGUGCUGGAAGGUUAAGAGGAGUGGUUAGCUUCUGCGAAGCUACGAAUCGAAGCCCCAGUAAACGGCGGCCGUAACUAUAACGGUCCUAAGGUAGCGAAAUUCCUUGUCGGGUAAGUUCCGACCCGCACGAAAGGCGUAACGAUUUGGGCACUGUCUCAACGAGAGACUCGGUGAAAUCAUAGUACCUGUGAAGAUGCAGGUUACCCGCGACAGGACGGAAAGACCCCGUGGAGCUUUACUGUAGCCUGAUAUUGAAAUUCGGCACAGCUUGUACAGGAUAGGUAGGAGCCUUUGAAACGUGAGCGCUAGCUUACGUGGAGGCGCUGGUGGGAUACUACCCUAGCUGUGUUGGCUUUCUAACCCGCACCACUUAUCGUGGUGGGAGACAGUGUCAGGCGGGCAGUUUGACUGGGGCGGUCGCCUCCUAAAAGGUAACGGAGGCGCUCAAAGGUUCCCUCAGAAUGGUUGGAAAUCAUUCAUAGAGUGUAAAGGCAUAAGGGAGCUUGACUGCGAGACCUACAAGUCGAGCAGGGUCGAAAGACGGACUUAGUGAUCCGGUGGUUCCGCAUGGAAGGGCCAUCGCUCAACGGAUAAAAGCUACCCCGGGGAUAACAGGCUUAUCUCCCCCAAGAGUUCACAUCGACGGGGAGGUUUGGCACCUCGAUGUCGGCUCAUCGCAUCCUGGGGCUGUAGUCGGUCCCAAGGGUUGGGCUGUUCGCCCAUUAAAGCGGUACGCGAGCUGGGUUCAGAACGUCGUGAGACAGUUCGGUCCCUAUCCGUCGUGGGCGUAGGAAAUUUGAGAGGAGCUGUCCUUAGUACGAGAGGACCGGGAUGGACAUACCUCUGGUGUACCAGUUGUCGUGCCAACGGCAUAGCUGGGUAGCUAUGUGUGGACGGGAUAAGUGCUGAAAGCAUCUAAGCAUGAAGCCCCCCUCAAGAUGAGAUUUCCCAACUUCGGUUAUAAGAUCCCUCAAAGAUGAUGAGGUUAAUAGGUUCGAGGUGGAAGCAUGGUGACAUGUGGAGCUGACGAAUACUAAUCGAUCGAAGACUUAAUCAA
rnacentral:rRNA from 1 species